UACAGAGGGGGCAAGCGUUGUUCGGAAUUACUGGGCGUAAAGCGCACGUAGGCGGCGCAGCAAGUCAGGGGUGAAAUCCCGGGGCUCAACCUCGGAACUGCCCUUGAAACUGCAGUGCUAGAAUCUUGGAGAGGCGAGUGGAAUUCCGAGUGUAGAGGUGAAAUUCGUAGAUAUUCGGAAGAACACCAGUGGCGAAGGCGACUCGCUGGACAAGUAUUGACGCUGAGGAGCGAAAGCGUGGGGAGCGAACAGG
rnacentral:rRNA from 1 species